GUGAGGAAUAUUGGACAAUGGGCGCAAGCCUGAUCCAGCCAUGCCGCGUGCAGGAAGACGCAUCUAUGGUGUGUAAACUGCUUUUGUACGGGAAGAAACACUCCCUCGUGAGGGAGCUUGACGGUACCGUAAGAAUAAGGAUCGGCUAACUCCGUGCCAGCAGCCGCGGUAAUACGGAGGAUCCAAGCGUUAUCCGGAAUCAUUGGGUUUAAAGGGUCCGUAGGCGGUUUAAUAAGUCAGUGGUGAAAGCCCAUCGCUCAACGAUGGAACGGCCAUUGAUACUGUUAGACUUGAAUUACAAGGAAGUAACUAGAAUAUGUAGUGUAGCGGUGAAAUGCUUAGAUAUUACAUGGAAUACCAAUUGCGAAGGCAGGUUACUACUUGAGGAUUGACGCUGAUGGACGAAAGCGUGGGGAGCGAACAGGAUUAGAUACCCCUGUAGUCC
rnacentral:rRNA from 1 species